rnacentral:rRNA from 1 species
GACAGAGGGUGCGAACGUUGUUCGGAAUUACUGGGCGUAAAGCGCGUGUAGGCGGCAACGCAAGUCGGGCGUGAAAUCCCACGGCUCAACCGUGGAAGUGCACUCGAAACUGCGUAGCUAGAGUCCUGGAGAGGAGGGUGGAAUGCUUGGUGUAGAGGUGAAAUUCGUAGAUAUCAAGCGGAACACCGGUGGCGAAGGCGGCCUUCUGGACAGUGACUGACGCUGAGACGCGAAAGCGUGGGGAGCAAACAGG